CUUAAUUUCAUAGUAUAUUAUAAUAAUAUAGUAUCAUAACUUACUAGAUCUAUGAACUUGUCAACAUUUAUUGUGUUUUAAAUAAUAACAUUGAUAUUAAAUAUCCAUAAUCAAUGUGAAUACCAAGAUGGAGUUUUGCUCAAGUGACAAGUCUAUAAAACCUAUAACCUUACUUAUAAAAUGUAUGCACAUCAAAUAUCAAAAUUAAAGUAUUAUGUCUUUGUUCUGAGAAACUUAUAAAUGUGUAGUUUUGUGUUUUAACAUAUUGGUAUCUGAAUUCAAAGAAAAAAUAUAAAAUUUUUUAUGAAAAAAUUGAAUCUUCAAUCAUCAUUUACUGAAUCAAUAAUAGUAUGUUCAAUAUUAAUAUGGACUAUCUCAACUUAAAUUGAUAUUUGUUAUUGUCUACAACUACACUACUACCAACGUCAAAUUUGGUGUAUUAUAUUAUUGUAGUCAAUCAGUCUAAUCUAAUUCCAUCAAUACAUUGUCGAAUGUUGUGGUAUUCAAUUUUCAGUAAAUUUAUAGGUGUUUUAUUUUAAGUUACUGUGGCACACUAUUGCAGAUAACGGUUUUCCAUUAAGUCAGUAAGAAGAAUAAGAUGGAUUCACAAGUUCAAAUCAAAUAUUAGACAACUAUAUAUAUUUAAUUAUUCAGCUAAAAAUGUAAUUCAAUAAAAUAAUUUAAAAGUACUUUAUCAUUUUAAAAGUGACAUAAAGUUUUUAAACUCUAAGUAUUUAAACACACAUAU